AAUUCAAAAAAUAUGCCUUUCUCCAAUUGUCAAAAUUUAAUGUGUCCUCCUAUUAUUUGCAGGGUCGUUGGCAAAUUAAAUUAAAUGCGUUACCACCAAAUUUAAGACUCUGCAUUUCUCUGUCUCCCUCCUCCCACAUAUUAAAUUUUAAGAAUCUCACACUUACUCAAACAAAACAUAUAUGCCCUCUUCUUCACCACUCUUGUUACAUUUUCAUCGUUCUUUCUGAGUACUAAAUGUUCUUUUGGUGACAUAUUAUUUAAGCGAUUCUAGUAACAUAUUAUUGAUGUCUCACAUUGAUUAACAAAGGUUUGUUAUUGUUUCUUCAGAAAAAAGUGGAGGACAGGAGCAACAAGCUUUGUUUUUUUAUAGUUGAGAAUUACAGCUAGUUGAGAUGAGAUAUUGGUGCGGUUCAAUCAGAAGGCAGUGCUUUUAUAAUUCAAAAAGCUCUGUGUUAUUUGAUUGAGCCGUGCCAAUAUCACGUGUUAAUCAGGCACAGCUUCUUUCUCCUCAUUAGCAAUCUGCAGCAUAGCAAAGAUUUUAUCUUCAUCCAGCAAGCUACCUAGCCAUCUUACUAGUCUUUUUUCUUGUGACAUGAUAAUGAAGAAGAAAAAAAAAACUCUAGUUGUGGGAUCACACAACAAAUGAAUUGGUACGGUAGGUAGGAAAUUAAUUCAUUAAUCUGUUGUACCUUUUUUUCUUUCUUUUUUUCCUUUUUGAAGGUGGUAGGGACUUAAUUCAUUUGAGGACGGAUCAAUAGGCAACAUAUAAGUUUUUCUUUAUGUUUACUUUGCUUCUAUUUAAAGGUUCUUAGCUCAAAA